AUGCUCAUUAAAUUGGGAAGGAAUCACAUACACACACAACUUCCCAAGUAAUGAAUCAAAGGAGCAUAAGCAUUGGAGUCUAACACUCCAACGUUAGACAACGGGAAACCCCAACUCCACCAUUUACUAGCUGUGUGUCCUUGUCAUGCCGCCUCCCUGAGCCUCCAUUUCUUCAUCUAGAAAAUGGGGUUAAGAAAGUGCUAACCAUAUACAGGACUGUCAUGAGGCUUAUAUAGAAUAACCUAUUCAACCCGCCUGGCUGAAUGCCUAGCACAGAGCUGGUGCUCCAUAAAUGGCAUUUCCUGGGACUUACCACUCUUCCUUGCUGUAGCAGUGUGAGGCUUCGAGAAGCAACUUUGCUUUGUGGUAAGAAGUAUAUAUC